GGCCCCAUGGUCAAAUGGUUAAGACAUCGCCCUUUCACGGCGGUAUUCGGGGUUCGAAUCCCCGUGGGGUCACCA
rnacentral:tRNA from 1 species